GUUUUCCUGAAUGCACUUUUGUCUUCAACCUUCGAGUAGAUAUUAUAAUCAAUGGUACGUGAAGGCGGCACAAUUUGAUUUUUGCUACCCCAGAGCUAACUUGCGACUUGUUAGCAAGUUAGAGAAAUCAAGUUAGACUCCAGAGGUCUAUGAUGGUCGGACGAGAUAAACUCGCGUGCGGAAGACUCCAGAAAAUGCAGUCUAGAUUUGGCGCCCAGUGAAACCAAGUGAAACGGUGUGUGGGUAUGAAGGAUUGUGCAGAACUUGCCACCACGAAAACUCAGAGAAGCUCAAUUCCACUGAAAAGAGGCCGGCAGCUUCUUAAAAAAUUGGAAGACUAUGCUAGACCAUCAGAUCAAAUUGCUGAACAAACAGCGUACCAAAAUGGAUAAAAGACUCAGAUUGACCAGCCCACGCUUUCAUCCACCAUUGUACACAGUAUGGCAC